ensembl:lncRNA
AAUGUAGCCUCCAUAAGCCCAGCACAUCAUGUAGCUAUGUUUCUAUGGCCUGCAUUCUCUUCUUUGCUCUCUCUCUCUCUCUCUCACUUUCCAUUUCUCUCUGUCCUCUCACUCAUUCUGUUUUUGAAGGAUAGUGUUAAUGAUGUCUGGCAUGUGUGAGGCAGUGUGCAGAGUGAGCAAGAGAGAGAUAGAGAACGGAAGAGAAAGAGAGAGAGAAAGAACGGGGAGAGAGAGGCAGAGGGGGAAAGUGAGAGAGACCGUAUGAGACUCAGAGUGGAAUACAUGCAAGAGGAAAAUCUGGAAGAAACUGAGGAUUUGUUGACAGGAAUUGGACUGAAAUGAAACACUGAAAAGGUGGAAAAGCAAGAGGCGAACGACUUUCUCACCCCUCCCCCCUCCCUCCCCUCCUCCUACUCCUCCUCCCCAUCUCCCCUCUGUCUCUGUCUCUAUCUGUCUCUUCGGCUGAUACAGCGGGGAAGUGGGCCUCUUGCUUUAAAUGAUUACAGCUGUGUAGGAAAAUUAUUGGUUGAUAUUUCUAUACAGGUUUUUUUUUUUUUCUUUCCUGCCGUUAAACACAGGUUCAUGAAGACAGGAGCGGGAGACCUGGGAUUCAAGGUUUUCUUUUUUCCUUCCUUUACAUUUUGUAGGUGUUUCGGCUCCGUACAGAGAGAAUGGGGGGGUGAAUGAAAAUGUAUCAAUGUUAGCGAGGAGAGAACUGCAGCAACAUGCGUCGGUGCAUUUUGUCUUUUCAAUUGAUUGGAUUUUUCGGGGGGGCUCGUCGCAUGUACGACCAUAAACGGUAUUUUUCUUCUUUUUCUAAGCUGGAUAUGAAUGAGGGAAAUACAAUCGAGUAAAAGCGACAUAGGUUAACAGCAGCGAAACAAAGUGACUGAGAGUGUGUGUGUGUGUGUGUGUGUGUGUGUGUCUGUGUGCACGUGCGCAUGCAUAUGAUUUCCCCCUCUCUCCCUCUCUCUCAGCGAGCCAGUAGACUGGUAUGCUUUGCUGGUGCUCUGGCCCUGGCAGCAAGUCGGGCUCUCUCUCAUCCUCUCGUCUACCUUUCUAUCCACUCUCCUUUUUUCAUACCUUUGUUCUUAAUAUCAUCAAUGUCUUUUUUUUUCUCCAUUCAAAUUCCUUUGGCUUAAGUCCCCCGGAGAAGCCUCUUGUUUUUUCAGCCUCAUUUCCCUUUCUAACCCUGUCGGUUUCUGUCUGCACAUGGUUUCCCACCAUCAGUCGUCUCGCCUCCUUUUCUUAUGCAGCAAAAUGGAAAUAUGGGACAAGAGCAGCUGCAUUCUCAUUUCCAACCAAACCUGGGACAAUGCUCCAUGCCGCACAGCCAGGUCAAUCAAGAUGUGGAUGGAGGACCACAAGAUCAAGACCCUGUCAUGGCCAGUCCAAUCUCCAGUCCUGAACCCCACUGAAUUUUGUGCCAGGAGUGGCAUAAAGUCGCCCCACAGCAAUGUGACAGACUGCUGGAGAGCAUGCGCAAGACACAUGAAAGCUGUGAUUAAAAAAUGUGGUUAUUCCACCAAAUGUUUUGUUGUUGAAAAAUGAAUAUGAAUUUGUUUUCUUUGCAUUAUUGAGGUCUGAAAACAAUGAUUGUUUUUUUGUUCUGUUAUUUUGACCAGUUAUUUUCUACAAAUAAAUACUCUAAAUUACAACAUUUUUAUUUGGGAGUAAUGUUGUCAGUAGUUUAUAGAAUAAACAUUUUACUCACAUUCCUAUGAAUAGUAAAACCGGAGAAACAGAUGAUUUUGCAGUGGUCUCUUAAUUAUUUUCCAGAGCUGUGUGUGUGUGUGUGUGUGUGUGUGUGUGUGUGUGUGUGUAUAUAUAUACACACAG